rnacentral:lncRNA from 1 species
CUUUGAACGAAGGACAUCUUCCGCAUAUCUGCGGGAAUCUCUAGUCUUUCUGUCUACGCAUAGACCGCCACAGCAUGUGAGCAACAACCGUGCUUCCGUCCGAAACUCCCGAUGCUUGCAGGCUGCGUGUCUCGCUCUCGCCGCGUUCUUUGUCCCCUCCUUUUGCGUUCCGUUUUCCUUCGGCAAACACUCAAAGCGCCGUUUCGUCUCUUUUUGAGCCUUCUCAGCGGAGAGUCUUUCCCGUUUUGAUGUGUCUGUGAACACUUUUCGCACGAGAAGGAGGGGAAGAGCACCCCCCUUUCCUUGUUCACAAGACCUACCCGCAACAACCUCGUCCUCCCCGUUCCGUCCCAUCAUCCUCAGGCGGUGUGGCGUCACCAAGCGUUCGGCUUUUGCAUUUUAAAGCAUGCUUAGCCCUUUCCUGCCUCAACCGCUUCCACAUCUAUUCAAAGGGUCAGCCGCUUGAAGAGAUUUCCUCUCACGGGUCGGCGGGACGCGCACAACCCCACGUAAAAAAAACACCCAAUCUCCCAGAACCAGACCGCCACAAGCAUGGCAGCCUCCUUUGGGAAAAGCAGAGGGACGGUCGAAAGAGAGUGAGCGAGGAGAAUUUACACACUCUCUACUGCUCGAACUGCUCUUGUGGGUGUAUAUACACUCAUCAAAGCAUGCGGCUGUCGGCCUCCUGCCCAUGCGUGCGUGAUCGACAGGUGGACCCAGCAGCCACUUCUGCCAAAAUGUACCGAUGUCGCUAACUGUG